AGUAUAGCGCAGUCUGGUAGCGCAUCUGGUUUGGGACCAGGGGGUCGGGGGUUCAAAUCCCUCUACU
rnacentral:tRNA from 3 species